ensembl:lncRNA
CUGCUGACUGAUCGUCUCCGUGUGAAGCUCCGUGUGAAGGUGAAGGUAGAAAGUGUGUGUGAGCUGAUUUGGAUUGAGCAGCAUGGAUCAGUGUGAGGACAGAGAGGAGGGAGCCCCUCCCUCUAAAAGAGCCAGAGAGAGCCAGACCAAAGCUCAGAGGAACCCACCUGGACCUCCACCCAGAGAGCAUGACAAGUCUAAAAGCCCUCCCAUAGAAGACCUGCCUGUGUCUGCUGCAGAGAGGACCCAUGGGACUCCAGCUGGACUUGAAGCUGGACCCAGCUGUGUGUCCUUCAAGAGUGACCGGUCUAGACGUCAGCCCAUUGAUUUUAAAGUCCAGCAGGUGUCUGCUGCAGAGAGGUGAGCGGCUAGUAACAUCAACUCUUUGAGAGCUGAUUUAACUGCUUGGUGUUGCUGAAUGUUGUUAUACCUCCUCGUUUAUCUGUUUGUGUAAGGUUUGUGGUGGGAGUAAGAGGACUGGGUAGAUCUGGUGGACUCUGUACAUUUCCAUUUGUUUUCUGUUAAAAACACUAAGUAAGCAGGUUGGUGCCACCUAUGCAGUGUUUUUCAUCUUAUGAAUAUUAAGAUUUUUCUGUGUUUUUGUUUCGUUUUUAAGAGUAGAGCUCUGCCAGGUUAGGGUUAGUAGGUCUGACAUUCAGCUGCAAAUCAUUCCAGUGUGGGCUGAAGGCCAUCACUCGAUGAAGCCAAC